rnacentral:rRNA from 1 species
UGGGGAAUAUUGCACAAUGGGCGCAAGCCUGAUGCAGCCAUGCCGCGUGUGUGAAGAAGGCCUUCGGGUUGUAAAGCACUUUCAGCGGGGAGGAAGGAGAUAAGGUUAAUAACCUUGUCGAUUGACGUUACCCGCAGAAGAAGCACCGGCUAACUCCGUGCCAGCAGCCGCGGUAAUACGGAGGGUGCAAGCGUUAAUCGGAAUUACUGGGCGUAAAGCGCACGCAGGCGGUCUGUCAAGUCGGAUGUGAAAUCCCCGGGCUCAACCUGGGAACUGCAUUCGAAACUGGCAGGCUAGAGUCUUGUAGAGGGGGGUAGAAUUCCAGGUGUAGCGGUGAAAUGCGUAGAGAUCUGGAGGAAUACCGGUGGCGAAGGCGGCCCCCUGGACAAAGACUGACGCUCAGGUGCGAAAGCGUGGGGAGCAAACAGG